UCAAGUGAAUAAGUGCAUAUGGCGGAUGCCUUGGCGAUUACAGGCGAUGAAGGACGUGGUAGUCUACGAAAAUUUUCGGGGAGCUGGCAAACAAGCUUUGAUCCGGAAGUGUCCGAAUGGGGAAACCCACCCGCAAGGGUAUCUAUCUCUGAAUAUAUAGGAGACAAGAAGCGAACCGAGUGAACUGAAACAUCUAAGUAACUCGAGGAAAAGAAAUCAACCGAGAUUCCGAUAGUAGUGGCGAGCGAAAUCGGAGCAGCCUGUUAUUUUUAGCACACGUGUUAGUAGAACGGAAUGGAAAGUCCGGCCAUAGAGGGUGAUAGCCCCUUAUACGAAAACCCGUGUGUGGAACUAGGGUAACGACAAGUAGGGCGGGACACGUGAAAUCCUGUCUGAAUAUGGGGGGACCAUCCUCCAAGGCUAAAUACUCGUAAUCGACCGAUAGUGAACUAGUACCGUGAGGGAAAGGUAAAAAGAACCCCGGAAGGGGAGUGAAAUAGAUCCUGAAACCGUAUGCAUACAAACAGUGGGAGCCCGCAAGGGUGACUGCGUACCUUUUGUAUAAUGGGUCAGCGACUUACAUUCAGUAGCAAGCUUAACCGAUAGGGGAGGCGCAGCGAAAGCGAGUCCUAAUAGGGCGAUUCAGUUGCUGGGUGUAGACCCGAAACCAAGUGAUCUAUCCAUGGCCAGGAUGAAGGUGCGGUAACACGUACUGGAGGUCCGAACCCACAAAUGUUGAAAAAUUUGGGGAUGAGCUGUGGAUAGGGGUGAAAGGCUAAACAAACUUGGAGAUAGCUGGUUCUCUCCGAAAACUAUUUAGGUAGUACCUCGUAUAUCAUUCUCGGGGGUAGAGCACUGUUAUAGCUAGGGGGGGCAUAAGCCCUUACCAAACUAUUGCAAACUCCGAAUACUGAGAAAUGUAAUUACGGGAGACAGUCCAUGGGUGCUAACGUCCGUGGACAAGAGGGAAACAACCCAGACCGACAGCUAAGGUCCCAAAUGACGUGCUAAGUGGAAAACGAAGUGGGAAGGCAUAGACAGCUAGGAGGUUGGCUUAGAAGCAGCCACCCUUUAAAGAAAGCGUAAUAGCUCACUAGUCGAGUCGUCCUGCGCGGAAGAUGUAACGGGGCUAAGCACGUAACCGAAGCUUCGGGUGUGUAGCAAUACACGCGGUAGGAGAGCGUUCUGUAAGCCUGCGAAGAUGUCUCGUGAGGGAUGUUGGAGGUAUCAGAAGUGCGAAUGCUGACAUGAGUAGCGAUAAAGAGUGUGAAAAGCACUCUCGCCGAAAGCCCAAGGUUUCCUGCACAACGUUCAUCGGUGCAGGGUGAGUCGGCCCCUAAGGCGAGGCAGAAAUGCGUAGUCGAUGGGAAACAGGUUAAUAUUCCUGUACCUCAAUUUAAUGCGAUGUGGGGACGGAGAAGGUUAAGUCAGCCGGGUGUUGGAUGUCCCGGUUCAAGCGUGUAGACAGAUUCUUUAGGCAAAUCCGGAGAGUCAAUGUCAAGGCGUGAUAACGAGUGAGCUUGCUCAUGAAGUGACUGAUACCAUGCUUCCAAGAAAAGCCACUAAGCUUCAGUUAAGUUGAGACCGUACCGCAAACCGACACAGGUGGGCAGGAUGAGAAUUCUAAGGCGCUUGAGAGAACCCAGGAGAAGGAACUCGGCAAACUAGCACCGUAACUUCGGGAGAAGGUGCGCCCCGGUAGGUUGUAGCAAUUUACUUGCGAAGGCCGAUGGGGUUGCAGUGAAAAGGUGGCUGCGACUGUUUAAUAAAAACACAGCACUGUGCAAACACGAAAGUGGACGUAUACGGUGUGACGCCUGCCCGGUGCCGGAAGGUUAAAUGAUGGGGUGCAAGCUCUUGAUUGAAGCCCCGGUAAACGGCGGCCGUAACUAUAACGGUCCUAAGGUAGCGAAAUUCCUUGUCGGGUAAGUUCC
rnacentral:rRNA from 1 species